GGAACGCACCACUCAUCAGGGGAACCAGAGGAACGCCCCACAGGUCAGGGGAACCCAGAGAAACGCACCACUCAUCAGGGGAACCAGAGGAACGCACCACACUUCAGGGGAACCAGAGGAACGCACCACAGGUCAGGGGAACCAGAGGAACGCACCACUCAUCAGGGGAACCAGAGGAACGCACCACUCAUCAGGGGAACCAGAGGAACGCACCACAGGUCAGCGGAACCAGAGGAAUGCACUCACACAUCAGGAGAACCAGAGGAACGCACUCACACCUCAGGGGAACCAGAGGAACGCACCACAGGUCAGCGGAACCAGAGGAAUGCACUCACACCUCAGGGGAACCAGAGGAACGCACUCACACCUCAGGGGAACCAGAGGAACGCACUCACACCUCAGGGGAACCAGAGGAACGCACUCACACCUCAGGGGAACCAGAGGAACGCACUCACACAUCAGGGGAACCAGAGGAACGCACCACAGCUCAGGGGAACCAGAGGAACGCACCACUCAUCAGGGGAACCAGAGGAACGCACUCACACCUCAGGGGAACCAGAGGAACGCACUCACACCUCAGGGGAACCAGAGGAACGCACCACUCAUCAGGGGAACCAGAGGGACGCACAGAUCAGAUCACAUGUCUGGUUCUUCUGUAGCAGUUGGAAAAUGAAAGGUUCUGCAUUCUGAGCAUUUGACAGCUGCCAGGGGAACAUUUCGGACCCACUCACGUUGUCUUUGAAAAACGUGGGGACUCUGUGGGCCGUGGUGGGAUUGCGGAGCGCUCGUCCCUCUGCUGCCGUGCAGCCCGUCAGAGAGCAGCUCAGAAAACGUCCUCUGAGCUGUGACAGCAAAGAACAGCAACGAGACACAACGUCUCGAGCUGCACCGUCCUCCGAGUGUCGCAUCUAAUAGUUUUCUCGCGGUGGCGGGUGAGCGGGGGGGGGGGGGGGGGGU
ensembl:lncRNA